rnacentral:rRNA from 1 species
CACGUAGGGGGCGAGCGUUGUCCGGAUUUAUUGGGCGUAAAGAGCUCGUAGGCGGCUCGGUAAGUCAGGUGUGAAAACUCUAGGCUCAACCUAGAGACGCCACCUGAUACUGCCGUGGCUAGAGUCCGGUAGGGGAGCAUGGAAUUCCUGGUGUAGCGGUGAAAUGCGCAGAUAUCAGGAGGAACACCAGUGGCGAAGGCGGUGCUCUGGGCCGGAACCGACGCUGAGGAGCGAAAGCGUGGGGAGCAAACAGG